rnacentral:rRNA from 1 species
UACGUAGGUGGCAAGCGUUGUCCGGAAUUAUUGGGCGUAAAGCGCGCGCAGGCGGUUUCUUAAGUCUGAUGUGAAAUCUCGUGGCUCAACCACGAACGGUCAUUGGAAACUGGGAGACUUGAGUACAGAAGAGAAGAGCGGAAUUCCACGUGUAGCGGUGAAAUGCGUAGAGAUGUGGGGGAACACCAGUGGCGAAGGCGGCUCUUUGGUCUGUAACUGACGCUGAGGCGCGAAAGCGUGGGGAGCGAACAGG